CUGGGACUGUGCGAAAGAUCCCUCCCACGAGCUCCUGCCCUGCUCCAUCCUCUCUCCAGGGGGAGGGGCCUGGGCAACCUGGCUGAGGGAGAGGAGGUCACUCCCUGUGCUCCAGCCCAACCCCGCUUCCUCCCACCCCCAGAACUCAACUUUGGGGCCAUGACUCUCAACAGCACGGAUGCCACCAGUGAGCGUGACUUUGUGGCCGAGUUCCCGUAUUGGGCUUCGCUGUGCAUGACCCAUCUCAGCAGGAUGGCCAAGGACCUCAUCCUCUAGGGCACCAAGGAAUUCAGCUUCGUGCAGCUCUCGGAUGCCUACAGCACCGCAGCAGCCUGAUGCCCCAGAAGAAAAACCCUGACAGCUUGGAGCUGAUCCAGAGCAAGGUGAGGCAUGUGUUUGCGCGGUGUGCUGGGCUCCUCAUGACCCUCAAGAAACUUCCAGCACCUACAACAAAGACUUACAGGUGUGAGGCUGGGGUAGUGGCCGGUGGAGGCCCGCUGCCUACAUUCUCGGGGCUCUGGCACACACAGGCAGGGGUCCCCCAGGAUUGCCAUACAUCCUCCCAUCCGUGGCUGCCCUUGGAGCUCUCUGCCCUUCCUUUCUUGGGGUGCUGAGUGUUCUUCCCAUGGAAGGCAGUGAGGAUGCCUCAGUGGGGGUGGGGCUGUGGGGACCCUGGGUGCCAGGGGGCUGCUAGGCCCUCACCUGCUGCCAUGUGCCUCCCAGGACAAGGAAGCUGUGUUUGAUGUGUCAGAUACUGUGAGUGCCGUGUUCCAGGUGGCCACUGGCGUCAUCUGUAUGCUGCAGGCAAGACACCACCCACCGGCCUCUCCUCCCCUAAGUCCCAGACACUGCAGUGGGCAUGCCAGGAGGGUGGCCUUGGGAGGAGGUGAGGCGGGGCUGGAGGACCUGGGGCAGGGAAAGGAGAGGUGUGCUCGCUCCUGCUCCUGGGGAACAGGGAAGAGACAGAAACUGCUGCCACACAAUGGAAGUAGAUGAGACUCAAGGGGCCUGAGGCUCAUCAACAGAACCCUUUUAAAAAAGAAAAUUUAUACAAAAGUCCAGUGUGGUGGCUCAUGCCUGGAAUCCCACACUUUGGGUGCCGAAGCAGGUGGAGCACUUGAGGCCAGGGAUUUGAGACCAGCCUGGCCAACAUGGUAUAACCAUAUCUCUACUAAAAAUACAAAAAUUAGCCGCG